GAUGAACGCUGGCGGCGUGCUUAACACAUGCAAGUCGAGCGAGAAGUUUUGAAGAGUUUCUUCGGAUGAAUUUUAAAAUGGGAAUCGGCGGACGGGUGAGUAACGCGUAGGCAACCUGCGCCAUACAAAGGGAUAGCAUUUGGAAACGAAUAUUAAUACCUUAUGAAACUUAACUAGUGCAUGCUAGGUAGGUCAAAGAUUUAUCGGUAUGGGAUGGGCCUGCGUCUGAUUAGCUAGUUGGUGAGGUAACGGCUCACCAAGGGGACGAUCAGAAGCCGACCUGCGAGGGUGAGCGGCCAAAUUGGACCUGAGGCACCGGCCAAGCACCUACGGGAGGGAGCAGAGGGGUAUAGUGCCCAAGGCGCGUAAGUCAUAUGCAGCAACGGAGCGUGAAAGACGAAGGCCAUUGGGUAGCAAAGUUCUGUGUUAGGGGACGAAAACUGACAGUACCCAAGGAGAAAGCCCCGGCUAACUACGUG
rnacentral:rRNA from 1 species